CAGCAGCCACGGGAACACGAAGGGUGCAAGCGUUAAUCGGAAUUACUGGGCGUAAAGCGCGCGUAGGUGGUUUGGUAAGAUGGAUGUGAAAUCCCCGGGCUCAACCUGGGAACUGCAUCCAUAACUGCCUGACUAGAGUACGGUAGAGGGUGGUGGAAUUUCCUGUGUAGCGGUGAAAUGCGUAGAUAUAGGAAGGAACACCAGUGGCGAAGGCGACCACCUGGACUGAUACUGACACUGAGGUGCGAAAGCGUGGGGAGCAAACAGGAUUAGAUACCCCGGUAGUCCCUGUCUCUUAUAC
rnacentral:rRNA from 1 species